rnacentral:rRNA from 1 species
GCAUAUCAAUAAGCGGAGGAAAAGAAACCAACAGGGAUUGCCCUAGUAACGGCGAAGUGAAGCGGCAACAGCUCAAAUUUGAAAUCUGGCGCAAGCCCGAGUUGUAAUUUGUAGAGGAUGUUUCUGGCGACGUGCCUUCCGAGUUCCCUGGAACGGGACGCCAUAGAGGGUGAGAGCCCCGUACGGUUGGAUGCCUAGCCUCUGUGAAACUCCUUCGACGAGUCGAGUAGUUUGGGAAUGCUGCUCUAAAUGGGAGGUAUACGUCUUCUAAAGCUAAAUACCGGCCAGAGACCGAUAGCGCACAAGUAGAGUGAUCGAAAGAUGAAAAGCACUUUGAAAAGAGGGUUAAAAAGUACGUGAAAUUGUUGAAAGGGAAGCGUUCAUGACCAGACUUGGGCAGGUUGAUCAUCCGUGGUUCUCCGCGGUGCACUCUGCCUGCCCAGGCCAGCAUCAGUUCGCCCCGGGGGAUAAAGACUUUGGGAAUGUGGCUCCCUCGGGAGUGUUAUAGCCCACUGUGUAAUACCCUGGGGUGGACUGAGGUUCGCGCUCUGCAAGGAUGCUGGCGUAAUGGUCAUCAACGACCCGUCUUGAAACACGGACCAAGGAGUCGUCUUCGUAUGCGAGUGUUCGGGUGUCAAACCCCUACGCGUAAUGAAAGUGAACGUAGGAGAGAGCUUCGGCGCAUCUCCGACCGAUCCUGAUGUUCUCGGAUGGAUUUGAGUAAGAGCAUACGGGGCCGGACCCGAAAGAAGGUGAACUAUGCCUGUAUAGGGUGAAGCCAGAGGAAACUCUGGUGGAGGCUCGCAGCGGUUCUGACGUGCAAAUCGAUCGUCAAAUAUGGGCAUGGGGGGCGAAAGACUAAUCGAACCUUCUAGUAGCUGGUUCCGC